AUUGAACGCUGGCGGCAGGCCUAACACAUGCAAGUCGAACGGUAACAGGAAGAAGCUUGCUUCUUUGCUGACGAGUGGCGGACGGGUGAGUAAUGUCUGGGAAACUGCCUGAUGGAGGGGGAUAACUACUGGAAACGGUAGCUAAUACCGCAUAACGUCGCAAGACCAAAGAGGGGGACCUUCGGGCCUCUUGCCCUCGGAUGUGCCCAGAUGGGAUUAGCUAGUUGGUGGGGUAACGGCCCACCAAGGCGACGAUCCCUAGCUGGUCUGAGAGGAUGACCAGCCACACUGGAACUGAGACACGGUCCAGACUCCUACGGGAGGCAGCAGUGGGGAAUAUUGCACAAUGGGCGCAAGCCUGAUGCAGCCAUGCCGCGUGUAUGAAGAAGGCCUUCGGGUUGUAAAGUACUUUCAGCGGGGAGGAAGGGAGUAAAGUUAAUACCUUUGCUCAUUGACGUUACCCGCAGAAGAAGCACCGGCUAACUCCGUGCCAGCAGCCGCAGUAA
rnacentral:rRNA from 1 species